rnacentral:misc_RNA from 1 species
CUGAGUGGUUUUCCCGCGAGGGAGCUGCCCGACCUGAUGUCAUUUGCGCUGGAGUGGGGGGGUAGGGAUUUUUUUUCCGGUUCAGGGUUACCCGGACGGGACGGAGGUCUCGGAAGGGGGCUCGGGCCGGCCCGCCGCCGCUCCGGUAUUUAAACUUCGGCGGAAGAGGUAGGCGUCGACCUGCCCGCCGCCGGCCGCAACGUUUUUACACUCUCGACGAGAACCUGAAGUCUGACGCAGCAAAGCGAAAAAGAAAAGCA